CCUUUGGGGAUAUCUGGUGAGCUCCUCCACUUGGAUUUGCAAACGGCACAGUUGUAACCAGCCGUUCGAAGGCAGUCAGAAAUUUUUCUUUGCAGGCAAUUCCGACAACCAUCGGCCACUGGUCUUGGACAAGCACAAUCAUUACCUAG